CCCCAGUCCCGGUCAUCUACAUAGAACUCUCUCUCGAUUCUAAAAAACAUAGAACUCACUCUCCUUCCCCCCCUACGAUCCCCACCAGGCUCCUCCUGCACAUCCGUCAUUUCUUCCUAUUUGCCACCAGCGAAGGACGACGUCGCUGUGCCUCAUCAGGAUACUAAUCCUCAUGCUAUCCCAGAUCCACAUGUCGCUUCUUUUCUCCUAAUUUUUCUUCCUUGAUGGUGGCACAUGUGGCAGGGUGAGUGUGUGGAUCUCGGCGACCUCGUCGAGUCUGGCAACGCGGUCAUGGAGAUGUCCAGGGAGAACGUGGGCUACGCUGCUCAAACUUGUUGUAGCUGGAGGCUUUGGAUGUUGGGGCUGCGGAGGUAUUGAGGGAGCUUGCGGAGGAAAAAAUAUCAGCAAGAUCACGAACGGCCAUUUUGAGUCGCUUGGUGACAUAAUGAUUUUAGGGGCAUCACCAGCAAACCUACCUUCAGUUUUAGCUGAUGGUUUGGAAUUCCUGGGAAGAUCAUGUUGUUAAGGAACUCCGUUGGAAACAUAUUAUCCAUUGUGUUGUACUUCAUUGUUGCCUUGCAUGUAGUGUCCAAGCUUAGUCUCUCAACUGGUGGAUCACGAUGGUGUAGAUCAAAUGGAAUAUCCGCCAGCAUGCUUCGAUUGUUAUGAUGCUGACCACAUGGGGGAGGUUUAGUUUAAUUUCAGACAUGCAUAUGCAUAUGCACUUACUCUGGCAUUAGGAUUUCAAUCUCGCGAAGGUUGUGGGUUCUUUUUUGUUAUUCUUGUCUCCACUGGCUUCAUUUGAGUUAGUAGUCCAAUAACAUCAGUAUAUUUGGAGAUUAGUGAUAUAGUAGUUAGAAAUAUAAAUUAUUUGGAGGUUGUAAUUACGACUAUAAACAUACCUGAGCAUUGUGUAUCUUUUUCUGCCCUUCCUUCUAGUGUAUCCAUGGUAGCAAACUCGAAGCAAUAGUCCGGGAAAACUUCCAAAGAUCCUUUUAUUUCCUUUUCCUUUGUAUUGUGUGCAAAAUAUAUUUUAAUUUCAUUGCUCACAGGCCUA